rnacentral:rRNA from 1 species
CUGGCUCAGGAUGAACGCUAGCUACAGGCUAACACAUGCAAGUCGAGGGGCAGCAUGAUCGAAGCUUGCUUGAUGAUGGCGACCGGCGCACGGGUGAGUAACGCGUAUCCAACCUUCCCUAUAGUAGAGGAUAGCCCGGCGAAAGUCGGAUUAAUACUCUAUGUUUUCCAAUGCAGACAUCUAAGUUGGAACAAAGGUUCACCGCUAUAGGAUGGGGAUGCGUCUGAUUAGGUAGUCGGCGGGGUAACGGCCCACCGAGCCUACGAUCAGUAGGGGUUCUGAGAGGAAGGUCCCCCACAUUGGAACUGAGACACGGUCCAAACUCCUACGGGAGGCAGCAGUGAGGAAUAUUGGUCAAUGGGCGAGAGCCUGAACCAGCCAAAGUAGCGUGCAGGAUGACCGGCCCUAUGGGUUGUAAACUGUCUUUUAGUACGGGGAUAAAGUGAGGGACGUGUCCCUUUUUGUAGGUACCGUAUGAAUAAGGACCGGCUAAUUCCGUGCCAGCCGCCGC